CGCCUCUAAGUCAGAAUCCCGCCCAGGCGGAACGAUACGGCAGCGCCGCGGAGCCUCGGUUGGCCUCGGAUAGCCGGUCCCCCGCCGUCCCCGCCGCGCGUCGGGACCGGGGUCCGGUGCGGAGAGCCCCUCGUCCCGGGAAACGGGGCGCGGCCGGAAAGGGGGCCGCCCCCUCGCCCGUCACGCAACGCACGUUCGUGGGGAACCUGGUGCUAAACCAUUCGUAGACGACCUGCUUCUGGGUCGGGGUUUCGUACGUAGCAGAGCAGCUCCCUCGCUGCGAUCUAUUGAAAGUCAGCCCUCGACACAAGGGUUUGUCCGCGCGCGCGCGCGCGCGCCCUUGCGCCUCCUUCCCUCCUUCCCUCCUUCCCUCCUGGGGGAUCCGGGCGACCAGCUGUCCCCGCGGUCCCCGCGGUCCCGCGGCGGCCGCCCGCCCGCCCGCCCGGGUCGACCAGCACCCCCGCGGUCCCACGGUCCCGGGUCGACCAGCACCCCGUUGGCGCCGCCUCGCCUCGGCGACUACCCGGGCGGCGGAGGCCGGGCCUCUCGCCCUCUCGCGGUGCGACCAGCCGACCUGGUCUCCCGCCCCGCCCCGCCCGCUUCCGCCAGCCACACGGCGCGCCCGUGUCUCCGCCCCUCCGCGGGUCGACCAGCAAGCCGUUCCCUCGCGCCCGCCUCCAUUCCCCGUGCGGGGGACUUGAGUGGUUUGUGCCACCGCCACCGGUGUUUCAUACCCAGCGAUUCCCCCGGUCUCGCCCUUGAUCCUCCUUUAUGGAUCUAUUCGUGACAGACGCAAAGACAGGCAGACACUUCGGCACGGGGAGAAAGGCGCUCGAGCGUCGAGCCCCCAUGCGUCGCCGCCAGUUUGCCUUUUUCUUUUUUCUCCCUUUUUUUUUUUUUCUGGAAGGUUUGUUUGUAUGUAUGUAUGUAUGUAUGUAUGUCUUUACUUAUUUCCUUAUUUGCUUACGUAUUUAUGUAUGUAUUUAUGUACGUACUUCUUUAUUCUUUUAUUUCUUCAUUCAUUUAUUCAUUUAUUCAUUUAUUCAUUCGUUUAUCUAUUUAUUUAUCUUUCAUGUAUUUAUGUAUUUAUGUAUGUAUGUAUGUAUGUAUGUAUGUAUGUAUGUAUGUAUUUAUUUAUUUAUUUAUUUAUUUAUUUAUUUAUUAUUUAUCAGAGACGGAGAGACGGAGAAGCAGGUUCCAUCCAGAGCGCCUGACCUGGGACUCUGAGCCCGCGUCUCCAGAACCACGCCCUGGGCUGAAGGCGGAGCUCGACCCCCGAGCGGCCGGGCCGUUGCCCCGAGUUUGUCUUUGUUUACACAGACGGAGACGGAGAAGCAGGCUCCAUCCAGAGCGCCUGACCUGGGACUCUGAGCCCGCGUCUCCAGGACCACGCCCUGGGCUGAAGGCGGAGCUCGACCCCCGAGCGGCCGGGCCGUUGCCGCAAGUUUACCUUUUUUUUCCUUCUCUUUUUUUGGAAGGUUUGUUUGUGUCCUUGCGUGGAGCCUGCUUCUUCUCCCUCUGCCUAGGUCUCUGCCCCUUCCUCUCUCCUCUCUCCUCUCUCUCUCUCUCUCUCUCUCUCUCUCCCUCCCUACGUUCGGACUUCUAGGUCACCCCAUCAGAAAGAUGCCUCGUGGGAUGGGACCCAAGAGGUGGUCCAGAGAAAUAAGGACCCGAUCUCCCCCCCCCCCCCAACCCCCCGCCACUUCCCUUGAGUCCAAAUCAUGAAGAAGACGGGGAAAGCAGGCCAGGCAGGCGGACGCCGGAAAUCCCAAGUCCACACGCACGCACGAGCACCAGAACUGAUGCCCAACCCACUCCACCUCUUUCAGAGGGCUGAGAGGGAGGCAACCACGGACAAAGCCUGUUUUCCAGGACGAAACCGAGAUGAAGGAACAGGCGGAGGUGGAGGCGGAAGGCUGGAAGGUUGACGGAUAAGAGAAAGGAAAAGAGGGACGGACGCCUGGGUGGCUCAGUGGUUGGGCGGCUGCCUUCCUCUCGGGGCUGGAUGCGAGGCGGGGGUUGGGGAGGUGGAAGGGGUACCCUGGGCUCGUGUGCCCGCAUCGGGUUCCCUGCGGGGAGCCUGCUUCUCCCUCUGCCUGUGUCUCUGCCUCUCUCUCUCUCUGUGACUAUCAUAAAUAAAUAAAAAUUUAAAAAAAAAAAAAAGAACGAG
rnacentral:lncRNA from 12 species